UGAGUAACCUGCCCUUAACUCUGGGAUAAGCCUGGGAAACUGGGUCUAAUACCGGAUAUGACUCCUCAUCGCAUGGUGGGGGGUGGAAAGCUUUAUUGUGGUUUUGGAUGGACUCGCGGCCUAUCAGCUUGUUGGUGGGGUAAUGGCUCACCAGGGCGACGACGGGUAGCCGGCCUGAGAGGGUGACCGGCCACGACCGGGACUGAGACACGGCCCAGACUCCGUACGGGAGCAG
rnacentral:rRNA from 1 species